rnacentral:tRNA from 4 species
GGGCGUAGUUUAGUGGUAAAACCUCAGCCUUCCAAGCUGAUGAUGCGGGUUCGAUUCCCGCCGCCC